AUUCACCAUAGCAUGGUGAUGGAAGAUCCAGAAUGAGUUUUUCAGUUUUAAGUGCAAGCAAUAGGAAAAGCACUGAGAGGGAUGCUCACCUAUUUCAAGACCCAAAAUGCAAGGAAUUGAUACAAAUGAUGACCAUAUGCUGCUAGAAAAUGCAGAAUGAUUAUUCUAGCUUGAAGUGCAAG